UACAGCAUUGUUGUUCACGUGGUCUGCUGUUAACCGAAGCAUCGCGUCUGCAGAAGACAGCGAAGGGAAACCCGAAAAUCUGCCCCAGCUACAGUGCAGGGUAAAUGCCCAGCAGGCAGGCGCUGCAGGAAGCAACGUGAGUUUUCUCAUCUGUAAAACUGAAAUAAUGACCCAGUCUGUCUAAAAUGGAACCGGAGGAAGAUGAUAUGAGACCUACGAUUGUACACCGGUUUCUUCAUGCAGAAUAUUAUAACUGCUCUCGACCUCAGCCCUGUGUAGGAAUGACCUUAUUAAAUAAACCACUGAUAUGCUGAACUUGCUUGCAGAAAAAUAAAAAAUAAAAAACAUGAUUUGUACCCAA